CAUCCUGGGAGGAAAGGCGGGCGAUUCGGGAGCUGGGGCUCUGAGGCCUCCCGGCAGCGGAAGUGAAGCGGGAUUUCGCGGCGCGGUGGCCGCUGCGUGAGGCUCGCUGUGGGGUGGCUUCCCCUGUCCUCCUCUCCACGACUUCCCGUUCGUUCAUGUCCACGAUGCUUGGCGCUCUGCCCGGCUCUGGGGAUGAACCGACUGGGCUCAAUACCUAACUUCAAGGAGCUCGUUGUAUCCCGGGAAAAACAAAACCGGCCAGAGAAUACAAUACAGAGUGGUGUUCGUGGAAAAACAGGUGUUACUCCCGUUCGCAGGAGCGACUCAGAGUUACCUUGGAACCAAAAAUGUCGCCCCAAAUCUGCCUACGCUUCACCCUUCCACCCCGCUGCAGCACUUUCUGGGAAUUUUAAGAAACUUCCCCCGCCCCGUGUGAAAUUUUGGUUUUCAAAAAUAGAACAGCGCAAAUCCUCCCUCUCCUUGCACGUGGUGCUUCGGAGCUCAAGUUAAACAGCACUGAAAGAGCACCUGCCAGUCUCCAGCUCAGCUGGAGGGUGGGGAGGUGGCUGGAGACAUGACCUUCCAGGCACUGAGGCUCUGUAGUGGGAGUCUUCGUGUUUCCACCUCAUGCUUCCAAAAAGACGGUCAAGGCCAGAGUCAGGGAAGAGUCAUGGAGAAGGGUGAAAACCCGAGACAGCCUGAGGAGGAGAGGCAGCUGACAUCCGCCCGGAUGAUGUGUCUACCGAGAAGCACUUCCUGCGCUGAGCACUCUGAUUUGGGAGCACUGAGGAGGGAGACAAGCAUCCAGGGGUAGGACUGGGCAGGGAGGCACAGAAUGAGCUGCGAUGAAUCAUCACCCUGUCCUGUGCCUCUGUCUCCCCCUUGAGCCUUCCCACGAGAUCCCUUCCUGGAGGAACCUACCAAAAGGCUGGUAAAUAAACAUUUUUGGUUCCAAGAACAGCUGGGGAGGGAGGUGCAAGGGUAGCUCCUUCUCAGCCUUCUCCCUGGAGCGAGCCUGGAAGUGCCGAGGGGGGGGCUGGGGUCUGGGGGGGUGGCCCUCCCUCUGGGAAGGCGGGGGUGCUGGCUGACCCACCACUGAAUCCAGGGGUACUCUGGAAUGGCGGUGUAGUAUGGUGUCACUGCCCUGCAGUGUCUAGGCCUUGGUCUGGACCCCAAAGCCCCUCGAGUCUAUGCUGUCCAGGCCUUUGGGAGGCCAGGUCUCAGGCCAGGCCAGCUGCGACCACACAACUUCCUGAGCAGGCCUUUUGCCAUGUCCACUCACGGCACCAAACCCAGAACACAGGUCCGGGGAAGGAGCCAAGAUGGGGACAGAUUUCCUUCCCCCCAACCCCCACCCCCACCCCCCCCCACCAUCUUGGCCCCAAGAGCCCUCAGGAUUCUGGUCUGUCCUGACUCACAUUUUCUAGAACAUCUGUGUCAUAGAAAUGUGUGUGCGCCUCUCUGGCAAUGUUCUUUACUUGCACUUGGAGGUCUGCCUUGCUCUGGAUUCUCUAAUCGGGGGCUCCUGGGGCCGGAACCACAGUGGAGCCCAAGCUCCGGGUGAGGCCCUGUCCUGGGAGGCUGCCUGGCCCCCGGCCCUCCAUAGCCCCCACUCCCUCCCUCCGGGAAGCUGUGAGAGCCACGGGCGCCAGCCAGAAGAGCCCAUUCAUUUUCUCUGCCUGCUCAGCCUUCACAUGUCCUUUUAGGGUAGAGCCUGCCGACGACGCAGCCAGCGGAGGCCAGGCUGCUGGGAGGAACAGACGGGGAGGCCUCAGAGGGGCUCCCCACGGAGGAUGCCUAGCUGCCCUGGGUGGUGAGUCUCCAACUUCCCAGACGUCCUUGUUAGCCUCAAGUUUUGUAACGUCCUCCUUCCUAUCCUAAAAUGAAAUUCCCAGGUAGUUUUUUUUUAAAUUUUUUUUUUAACGUUUAUUUAUUUUUGAGACAGAGAGAGACAGAGCAUGAACGGGGGAGGAGCAGAGAGAGAGGGAGACACAGAAUCGGAAGCAGGCUCCAGGCUCUGGGCCAU